rnacentral:rRNA from 1 species
UAGGGAAUCUUCCGCAAUGGGCGAAAGCCUGACGGAGCAACGCCGCGUGAGUGAUGAAGGUCUUCGGAUCGUAAAACUCUGUUAUUAGGGAAGAACAAAUGUGUAAGUAACUAUGCACGUCUUGACGGUACCUAAUCAGAAAGCCACGGCUAACUACGUGCCAGCAGCCGCGGUAAUACGUAGGUGGCAAGCGUUAUCCGGAAUUAUUGGGCGUAAAGCGCGCGUAGGCGGUUUUUUAAGUCUGAUGUGAAAGCCCACGGCUCAACCGUGGAGGGUCAUUGGAAACUGGAAAACUGGAGUGCAGAAGAGGAAAGUGGAAUUCCAUGUGUGACGGUGAAAUGCGCAGAGAUAUGGAGGAACACCAGUGGCGAAGGCGACUUUCUGGUCUGUAACUGACGCUGAUGUGCGAAAGCGUGGGGAUCAAACAGG